GACGAACGCUGGCGGCGUGCUUAACACAUGCAAGUCGAACGGAAAGGCCCUGCUUUUGUGGGGUGCUCGAGUGGCGAACGGGUGAGUAACACGUGAGUAACCUGCCCUUGACUUUGGGAUAACUUCAGGAAACUGGGGCUAAUACCGGAUAGGAGCUCCUGCUGCAUGGUGGGGGUUGGAAAGUUUCGGCGGUUGGGGAUGGACUCGCGGCUUAUCAGCUUGUUGGUGUGGUAGUGGCUUACCAAGGCUUUGACGGGUAGCCGGCCUGAGAGGGUGACCGGCCACAUUGGGACUGAGAUACGGCCCAGACUCCUACGGGAGGCAGCAGUGGGGAAUAUUGCACAAUGGGCGGAAGCCUGAGGCAGCAACGCCGCGUGCGGGAUGACGGCCUUCGGGUUGUAAACCGCUUUCGCCGGUGACGAAGAGUGAGUGACGGUAAUGGGUAAAGAAGCAACGGCUAACUACGUG
rnacentral:rRNA from 1 species